ACUCAAAUGAAUUGACGGGGGCCCGCACAAGCAGUGGAGCAUGUGGUUUAAUUCGAUGCAACGCGAAGAACCUUACCUAGGCUUGAAACGCAUAUUAAAUUCAGUGAAAGCUGUUGUCCCGCAAGGGGAAUAUGUACAGGUGCUGCAUGGCUGUCGUCAGCUCGUGCCGUGAGGUGUUGGGUUAAGUCCCGCAACGAGCGCAACCCUCGUCCUUAGUUGCCAUCAAGUAAUGUUGGGCACUCUAAGGAGACUGCCUACGCAAGUAGUGAGGAAGGUGGGGAUGAUGUCAAGUCCGCAUGGCCCUUACGCCUAGGGCCACACACGUGCUACAAUGGCCAUCACAAAGGGUCGCAAUACCGCAAGGUGGAGCCAAUCCCUAAAAAAUGGUCUCAGUUCGGAUUGGAGUCUGCAACUCGACUCCAUGAAGCUGGAAUUGCUAGUAAUCGCUGAUCAGAACGCAGCGGUGAAUACGUUCCCGGGCCUUGUACACACCGCCCGU
rnacentral:rRNA from 1 species